AUUGAACGCUAGCGGGAUGCCUUACACAUGCAAGUCGAACGGAGUUGCGAACGGGUGAGUAAUUUAUCGGUACAUGCCCUGUCUCGGGGGAUAACUACACUAAAGCGUAGCUAAUCCCGUAUCCUUUUUGAUCGGCCUAUUUGGGAUUAUCUAGUUGGUUAGGUAACGGCUCACCAAGGCGACGAUCCAUAGCUGGUUUGAGAGGACGACCAGCCAAACUGGAACUGAGACACGGCCCAGACUCCUACGGGAGGCAGCAGUGGGGAAUUUUGGACAAUGGGGGAAACCCUGAUCCAGCCAUCCCGCGUGUGCGAUGAAGGUCUUCGGGUUGUAAAGCACUGUUGGCAGGAAAGCGGUACCUGCAGAAUAAGCACCGGCUAACUACGUGCCAGCAGCCGCGGUAAUUC
rnacentral:rRNA from 1 species